rnacentral:rRNA from 1 species
AGAUUGAACGCUGGCGGCAUGCUUUACACAUGCAAGUCGAACGGUAACAGGCCGCAAGGUGCUGACGAGUGGCGAACGGGUGAGUAAUGCAUCGGAACGUGCCCAGUCGUGGGGGAUAACGCAGCGAAAGCUGUGCUAAUACCGCAUACGAUCUAUGGAUGAAAGCGGGGGACCGAAAGGCCUCGCGCGAUUGGAGCGGCCGAUGUCAGAUUAGCUAGUUGGUGGGGUAAACGGCCCACCG